AUCAAAUUACCUUAUUAAGCUAUAUAUCUGAUUUAUUAUGAUUUUUAAGUUCCCAAAAUACCCCUAUUUACAAUUGAGCAUGUAAAAGGCCGGUGUUUGAUGUUUUGGUCCUCCUAUUUAUUGUAGUGAUCCUCUCCAGAAUUUUGUGUAUGCAAUUAAUUAUCCGUUUUGAUUAUGGGGUUAAUUUUCUUAGUCAUAUGUUUUGAUUAUGGUUUUAGUUUGGACAUUGGUGUUCUAAUUAGGGUUCCUAAAGGUGGAAAUUUGGUUGGGGGGUUUCUUCUGUUGCAGUUCAAGAAAUUCCAGGUAUUGAAAUUUCAUUUGAAAAUUCUGGAGCAUUCCACACUGACUAGCAAGCGUGAGUGGUCUGCCGUCAAAUUGCAGGUAAAAAAUGUCUUUCUCUUCUAUGUACAUGGAGCCCCGUUCAUUGUUAGUCCAAACCGGAGCAAAAUUGAGUAUCUGGGUAUUAGUUUACCUACACGAAAAAGAUGGGUUUGAUUUUUGGUUUUUUAAAACCUGGUUAUGGACCUACAGCAUACAAACUAGGGCAAAACCAGAGCAAAC
rnacentral:lncRNA from 1 species